GAGAGAGGUGGUGACGUCACGAUGAGAACUGCCUUGUAGGGACGAGGGACCCUCCCUCCUCCUCUGCUCAUGCUCACCAGAACCUCCAGCUGGUGAACCUCCCAGCACAGCCCUGACUCCACCAUGGACCUCAGGCUUCUCUGCUGUGUGACCCUCUGUCUCCUGGGGGAAGGUCACGCAGGAGCCGGAGUCACUCAGUUCCCCAGGCACAGGGUCACAAGGAAGGGCAAGAAUGUAACUCUCAGCUGUGAUCCAAUUUCUGGUCAUGUUGGCCUUUAUUGGUACCAACAGACCGUGGGGCAAGGCCCGGAGUUCUUGGUUUACUUCCAAAACCGUGACCCACUGGACAAAUCAGGGAUGACCAAUAAUCGGUUCUCUGCCGAGAGGGACGAGGGGACCCGCUCCACUCUGCAGAUCCAGCGUGCGGAGCAGGGGGACUCGGCGGUGUACCUCUGUGCCAGCAGUCUCAGCACAGUGGGGCACAGUCGCCUCCUUCCUCUUCACAAACCUCAGAUUCCUCUCUCCUUGCCGCAGCUGGAGCCCCUACACCGGCUGCUCUCUGUUCUUCAUUCCCCGAUGGAAAGAAGUAGAUUUGGACAUCAGCUGUCCUUUGGGUAG